UACGUAGGGGGCGAGCGUUGUCCGAAUUUACUGGGCGUAAAGCGCGCGUAGGCGGGCUAUUAAGUUAUGGGUGAAAUCCCGGGGCUCAACCCCGGAACUGCCUGUAAAACUGGUAGCCUUGAGGUAUGGAGAGGGAAGUGGAAUUUCUGGUGUAGCGGUGAAAUGCGUAGAUAUCAGGAGGAACACCCAUGGCGAAGGCAGCUUCCUGGCCAUAUCCUGACGCUGAGGUGCGAAAGCUAGGGGAG
rnacentral:rRNA from 1 species